GACUGGUCCGUUUUGACAGAGUGCUGAUUGGUCCGUUUACAAACCUUUAGUUAGACACAGAGUGCUGAUUGGUGCAUUUACAAACCUUUAGCUAGACACAGAGUGCUGAUUCGCGCUUUUACAAACCUUUAGCUAGACAGAAAAGUUCUCUAAGUCCCGCCGGACCCAGAAGCCCAGCCGGCUUCGCUUCUCAAUGGCAGUCGCAGCGGGACUUUGUGGCACCUAGCCCGGGCACUCUGGCAGCCCACAGGGAGCUCAUCCCCCGAUCAAGCCCAGCAGGCGCCUGCCGGCUGCGGGGCCCGCCAAGCCCGCGCUCACCCGGAACCCACGCCGGCCCGCUAGCGCCGGGCGCGCAGCCUCGGCGGGCGGGCGCCUCGCCUUCCACACCUCCCCGCCAGCAGAGGGAGCUGGCUCCGGCCUCGGCCAGCCCCAGAGAGGGGCCCCCUCAGCGCAGCGGCGGGCUGAAGGGCUGCUGGAGCGCGGCCAGAGCGGACGCCGAGGCCGAGGAGGCGCCGAGAGCGAGUGAGAGCUGCUAGCCAGUUGUCACCUCUCACAGAGAGUAGCUUUGAGAUUUGAAGACAUUCCAUCAGCAUGUUGAUCAGAAGGAAAAAGGCGCCUUAGGAAAGAGACUAAACUGGUCUAUAAAGUUAUUUGAAGGAAUCAUCUUGGGAAGUUAGUUCCAAAAGAAAAACUUUCUAUUGCCGGAGGGCUAUUCAUUAUCUCUGAGGUUGGCAGAUUAGUGAGUUGCUGUUGUCUUUGAUAACAUGUCUAAAA
rnacentral:lncRNA from 1 species